UUUAGGGAGACCUACCCACUUAUAUCUUGAAAGCAAACAGUGAAUAGGGAAUAAGUUGGUCAUCCCAAGGUCGUUCGAGGAAAGAGUGUGAAGAAUGAGCUUCCAAACUAUAUUGGUUCGUAGAAGGGCUAUUAGCUCAGGUGGUUAGAGCGCACCCCUGAUAAGGGUGAGGUCCCUGGUUCGAGUCCAGGAUGGCCCACCUAAAGAGCAUCAUCAGGAGCGGGGGGGUUUAGCUCAGUUGGUAGAGCGCCUGCUUUGCAAGCAGGAUGUCAGCGGUUCGAGUCCGCUAACCUCCACUGUGAGAGAUGUUUGUGAGCGAUGAGCUUACAAGGAUAGAUUCAGCACCCAACCUCACCUAGAUUAGGGAUAGGUGGAAUGCUGGAGAUUUCCAGUCAGAACCUUGAAAACUGCAUAGAGAUUUGUCAGGUAGAGAAGUAGGCCAUAGAUAAUGAAUGCCAGGAAGUGAGGGAACUUGCGACUGGGGUUGAAGAGUCUAGGGUCUAGAGAUCACAGACACCAAUGAAAUUGGCUGAUUUAAGGAUUAGUCGAUAGUGGU
rnacentral:tRNA from 1 species